CUAAGGAGUUUUUUGUUCGGCGUGGUGGCCCGCCUGUGGCGGGGCCGCGCCGGCUCGUAGUGUUUUCGGGUGGAUCAAUCAUCCGGGGUGGGAUGGUCCGCGUGCCGUGUGGUGCGUGGGGGUGCGUCGGUGCGCUGUCGGGUGUCUGGGAGGGCACGCUCUCCUUGUGGCGCCGUCGUCGUGUCUGCUGGUCUGUGCUGGCGGGUGCGGUGGUGGUGGUGUUGUGUGAGAACUGGAUAGUGGACGCGAGCAUCUGUUUUUCUGUGAUGAGUAUUUUUUGACUUGUGUGGUCGAAGGCGUUU
rnacentral:misc_RNA from 1 species